CUUUCUUCUAAAGCAACAAUGCAAUGAAUUUUAACAGAAGAAUAAAAUGCAAAAUAAACAGAACAACCAGUCCAAGCAAAAAUAAAAACGACACAGGGUAUAUCUGACACUUGUGUUAUAUUCUAUGUACCAGAGUGUAUAAAUAAUGUGACAUAACACAGGUAGAUCUGAGAGACAGAGAUAAUCUGGAUUAACAGUAAACCUUCAGAAAAACAAUAGUCUGAAAAACUUAUUUUUAACCAUUCUGCUGCCAUUGACACACAGGUCACCUUUCCACAGCAGCAAGACUCAGCCCUAUCAUGGAAUGUCCCAAAUUUAGAUCAGGGGAACAGCAAGGGAAGCUGGAUAAGGAAUAUAAGAAACACCGUCCUAAAAGUCAUAAAAUUCUGUGUACCGUACAUUUAGUUAAAUAUAGACUUUGUUAUUUAUACAUAAAAUCACUUAGAAUAAAACUAGAAAUGAUUUAGUUCCACUAAAAACUCAUUUAGAUAUGAUGUAUCUGCAGUUUGCCUCUUCCUCGAAAUUCCACUUGUAUUCUAUACGAUGUUAGUUAUUCCUGAAAUCACUGUAUUUAUCAUGUUAACCAUUUGAGAGCCAGAGGGGCAGGCACGGAGUCAAUUUUAGAGUACUUUCCCACCGAUCUGGACCACAAAGGGUUAGAGAAAAUGUAUGCAGGAGACAUGUUUAAAUAUUACGUAACGAAUAUAUAUAUAUAUUCUGAUUUUAAUACUUGGUGGUUAAGGGAAGGCGGGAGAUAUAUAGACAUGUAUAUCCCCUUCCCUUAAACACCAAGCAUUAAAACCAGAAUGAUCUAUGGUCAGGUCCUGCUUUGUUAGAUUAUUUCAUAUAAUUUGUUGCAGGACAGCUGGUUCAAACAUUUCUUCUGCCUUUAAAUAGGAAUGGCAAAUAAAAAAUAAAAUAUUAAUUACAAAAAAAAA